rnacentral:tRNA from 1 species
ACAUUGGUGGUUCAGUGGCAGAAUUCUCACAUUCCAUGUGGGAGACCUAAGUUUGAUUCCCAGCCAAUGCA